UACGUAGGGGGCAAGCGUUGUCCGGAAUCAUUGGGCGUAAAGCGCGCGUAGGCGGCCCUGUAAGUCCGCUGUGAAAGUCAAAGGCUCAACCUUUGAAAGCCGGUGGAUACUGCAGGGCUAGAGUCCGGAAGAGGCGAGUGGAAUUCCUGGUGUAGCGGUGAAAUGCGUAGAUAUCUGGAGGAACACCGGUGGCGAAGGCGGCAUCCUGGACCGGUAUUGACGCUGAGGCGCGAAAGCCAGGGGAGCAAAGCGGG
rnacentral:rRNA from 1 species